CGAAAGCCCCCUUCGGGGGGCAAGUAGAGUGGCGCACGGGUGAGUAACACGUAGGUAAUCUACCUUUGGAUGGGGAAUAACAACCGGAAACGGUUGCUAAUACCGCAUAAUGCAGUGGCACCUAAUGGUGACAGUUGUUAAAGCGGGGGAUCGAAAGACCUCGCGUCUAAAGAGGAGCCUGCGGCGGAUUAGCUAGUUGGUAAGGUAACGGCUUACCAAGGCGAUGAUCCGUAGCCGGCCUGAGAGGGCGGUCGGCCACACUGACACUGACACACGGGUCAGACUCCUACGGGAGGCAGCAGUCGGGAAUUUUGGGCAAUGGGCGAAAGCCUGACCCAGCAACGCCGCGUGAAGGAUGAAAUCCCUCGGGAUGUAAACUUCAUAAGAACGGGAAGAAUAAGUAAGGGUUAAUAUCCCUUACGAUGACGGUACCGUUAGUAAGCUCCGGCUAACUCCGUGCCAGCAGCCGCGGUAAUACGGGGGGAGCAAGCGUUGUUCGGAUUUACUGGGCGUAAAGGGCGCGUAGGCGGCCACCGCAAGUCGACUGUGAAAUCUCCGGGCUUAACCCGGAAAGGUCAGCCGAUACUGCGGGGCUAGAGUGCAGAAGGGGCAACUGGAAUUCUCGGUGUAGCGGUGAAAUGCGUAGAUAUCGAGAGGAACACCUGCGGCGAAGGCGGGUUGCUGGGCUGACACUGACGCUGAGGCGCGAAAGCUAGGGGAGCGAACGGGAUUAGAUACCCCGGUAGUCCUAGCCUUAAAC
rnacentral:rRNA from 1 species